rnacentral:misc_RNA from 1 species
ACAACAGCAGAAGCUCUUGAACCGUAAGAUAGUUACCGAAAUUUCACCUGCCAAGAAAUUCUACCGAGCUGAAGAAUAUCACCAGCAAUACCUUGCAAAAGGAGGCCGUUUUGGAUUUAGGCAAUCUCCUGAGAAAGGCUGCAAUGAUCCCAUCAGAUGCUACGGAUGAAUUGCCUCCCUCGAAAACUGCAAAUAUUGGCUUAAGUAAACACUGGUAGACUAAUUAUUUAUUUUGAUAUAACUAAAGCUUUUGUAUACGUUGCUGGGCUGAGCAUGAUUUGCAUGUUUAGGUUCCAGGACAUGAAUCUGUAAUAGUUUAUAUACUUUGAGGAGUGUGCGUUUUACUAUCUGUGUAAAGCAUUUAGCCUGGGCAAAUUGGUUGGCAAAUAAGAAAUAAAGCGUUUUAUACUGUCAAUGAAGUUUGUUCACUCUGGAGUACGAAGGAGUACAUGGACAACUGUACACCGUACCCAUUACUGGAUGGGCUGGUUGAAGGAUCCGGUCUGAUUAUUGGUCCUUGGCCCAACUUAAAAUCCAAGUAACUUGUAUAAAUUCAGUACGACAUUCUUUGUGUAUGUUACUUGGUUGAGUUAAGCAAAAAAUUAUUGGUCCAAAACAAGAAGACAGCUCAAUGUGGUAUUGAAUUUGAAGGGAGAUUGUGCUCUUACUCUAUGUUUGAUAGAGUAUAGUGUAAUAUAAUAUAAUUAAUUAUGUAAUAAAAUUAAAA